AGUUGCCACAGUGUCUCAUCUCCUGGUUAAGUGGAUAUGUUUAUGAAUAAGAGCUUUUCCAUGAAGGUAAGGAGAAGUUACAUUGUGGGAGUCUCUGUUGUGUGCAUCAGGGAAGAAAAUGUAGUGUAGCUUUUGACUAGCCAUUGGGGAGAUAGAGCAGCAAGUGACGACUCCUUCCUUUUCCUACACUUCUGCAAAGCUGUUGCACGUGUGUUCUGCCCUUCAUGACUUCCUCUGGGGAUGGGCUUUCAAAGACUGUUGCUGCCUGCCCUGCUCCCUGCAGGCCUGCCCUGCUCCCUGCAGCCCUGCCCUGGAGGACUGCUUUCUGACCAUGAAGAGCUAGGAGCUUUGCUAAUGCAUCUGCUGCUUCUUGAGUAGCCUGACCUCAGGCCUUGAAGGACGCUCACCUGUACAACUUCCCUGCAAACAGCCAAAACUUUUCCCCGCGUCUCAUUACAGCUUUACAAAAGCCUGGAUAACAGAAAUGAUUACUUUGCUGCUUGAUAUGGAAAAGCUAUUGACAGCGGGGCUGUGAAAAGCUGAACGCUGCAGUGUGGGACUCUGGCUGGUCCUCAGGGUGGAUAAGCCCACCUAGAGAGAAACCCCAUGACCUGGUGCUUCCUGGCCAUGCAGCAUGCUCAUUGAAGUGGUCAAGUAAGGAGAUUCCCAGGGCUCAAUUUCUGCUCAUUAUGAAGUUGUGAGAUGGCUCUGGGCUUGAAGUCUGCUCAUAGUGUGUAUCCUGAAUGUGCUUGUGUUCCGUGCUCUGUAGAGUA